CUGCCCCCUGUUACAAGCUGCGGCCUAUGUGGUUCAGAUGAUUCCUGGCAACAUUCACUUUUACAUUGCAACAUGGCUAGAUGUGUGUGGGCUCUCCAUGAUCCUGACCUGGUGGAAGUGGUGGAAAAUACAAGGGAGCCUGAUGCCAAGAGGUGGAUUUUCUCUAUUCUGGACUCCCUCCCAUAUGAUGAUUUUAUCGAAGUGCUAAUCACCCUCUCGGCGAUUUGGCAUGCUCGACAGAAGCAGCCGGUAGUGCCAGUACCUAUUCCCUGGGCAAGAGCAAAGUGGAUCCCGCCAGCUCAAGGGCUCGCCAACAUUAGAGUGGAUGGCGCCGUCUCUAAAGAAGCAAAUGAGGGCACCUACAACGCCGUGUGUCGCGACGCUUCUGGCCACUAUCUUGGAGCCUCGGUUGUCAGAACCUUGGGCAUCACUGACCCAGCUACUCUCGAAGUGUUGGCUUGUUGGGAGGCACAAGCUAUUGCGUUUGAUCUCUCAUUAUCACAUGUGGUGAUUCCUUCGGAUUGCUGGAUUGUGGUGAAUGAUAUACACAACGAAAUAGGUGCUGCGUAUGCUAGUAUAGUGAAGGAAAUUAGAUCUAAUGUUAGUCAGUUCAAGGAGUGCUCCUUCAUCUUUGAAGGAAGAGACACAAAUAUCGAGGCACAUAGUCUCGCUAAACAUGCUUUUGGUUUGGACUUGGGUCGCCAUGUUUGGCUUCUCAAUCCUUCAGAUCUCCAUUGUAUUCCCAUGAACAUUAUUAAUCAAUAA
rnacentral:rRNA from 1 species